GUGAGUCAUCGAAUCUUUGAACGCACAUUGCGCCCCUUGGUAUUCCGAGGGGCAUGCCUGUUCGAGCGUCAUUUCAACCCUCAAGCUUCUGCUUGGUAUUGGGCUUCGUCCUCCGCACGGGGGACGUGCCUGGAACUCGUAGGCGGUUGUGCUCAGCUCCUUAGCGUAGUCAAUUUUCUCUCGCUCUGGAGGUCUGGGUGCGGCUCGCCUGAUGAACCACCAAUUUUCAUUCUGAAGUUUGACCUCGGAUCAGGUAGGGAUACCCGCUGAACUUAAGCAUAUCAAUAAGCGGAGGA
rnacentral:misc_RNA from 1 species